GUUCAGAAUGACGUCGGCUGUGUUUAGUGUCACUGCUGUACUGGUGUCGUUUGCCGCUUUGUUUGGUUCAUCAAGUGGCGGCUGUUUUAUACAAAAAGACUGCUGUUACAACGAAUGCUGCGUCUCCAUCAACCAGUCCAGGGGAAAACGAUCGUCCUUUCCAACUGGACGCUGCCAAGCCCUGGGUCAACAAGGGUCAAAAUGUCUGGUGGAUUUCGGAAGCGCUUCAACACCACCUGCUGGCUGAGUUCAAGCAUGUCCAUGUAAUGGUUCCCUGGAAUGCAAAGGAACUGGAGAUUUUGAAGUUCCACAGGGAGAAAUAGGUGCGUGUAGAGGAAUCACUAUAUACAAAAGAUGAAUUGUAUAUCCAUGGAUUGAAAAAAAGAACAAACACUGUGCCGGUGACAGAAAACGGAAAUAGAACAAUGCUUUAGAAAAAGAUCACUUAGUUCAAUUGUUUAUUUUGACUUAAGCACACACUUGACAUGUCAUAUUAUAUC